AGUGAACGCUGGCGGUAGGCCUAACACAUGCAAGUCGAACGGAAGCACAGUAAGAGCUUGCUCUUACGGGUGGCGAGUGGCGGACGGGUGAGGAAUACAUCGGAAUCUACUUUUUCGUGGGGGAUAACGUAGGGAAACUUACGCUAAUACCGCAUACGACCUACGGGUGAAAGCAGGGGAUCUUCGGACCUUGCGCGAUUGAAUGAGCCGAUGUCGGAUUAGCUAGUUGGCGGGGUAAAGGCCCACCAAGGCGACGAUCCGUAGCUGGUCUGAGAGGAUGGUCGGCCACACUGGAACGUAGACACGGUCCAGAGUCCUACGGGAGGCAGCAGUGGGGAAUAUUGGACAAUGGGCGCAAACCUGAUCCAGCCAUACCGCGUGGGUGAAGGAGGCCUUCGGGUUGUAAAGCCCUUUUGUUGGGAAAGAACAGCAGCAGGUUAAUACCCCGCUGUUCUGACGGUACCGAAAGAAUAAGCACCGGCUAACUUCGUG
rnacentral:rRNA from 1 species